rnacentral:rRNA from 1 species
CAAGUCCGUCGGGAAAUCCAUCGGCUCAACCGAUGGGCGUCCGGCGGAAACUGCGUGGCUUGGGACCGGAAGGCUCGAGGGGUACGUCCGGGGUAGGAGUGAAAUCCCGUAAUCCUGGACGGACCACCGAUGGCGAAAGCACCUCGAGAAGACGGAUCCGACAGUGAGGGACGAAAGCUGGGGUCUCGAACCGGAUUAGAUACCCGGGUAGUCCCAGCCGUAAACGAUGCCAGUUAGGUGUGGCACAGGCUACGAGCCUGUGCUGUGCCGUAGGGAAGCCGUGAAACUGGCCGCCUGGGAAGUACGUCCGCAAGGAUGAAACUUAAAGGAAUUGGCGGGGGAGCACUACAACCGAAGGAGCCUGCGGUUUAAUUGGACUCAACGCCGGACAUUUCACCAGCUCCGACUACAGUGAUGACGGUCAGGUUGAUGACCUCCACGACGCUGUAGAGAGGAGGUGCAUGGCCGCCGUCAGCUCGUACCGUGAGGCGUCCUGUUAAGUCAGGCAACGAGCGAGACCCGCACACUUAAUUGCCAGCAUCAGGUUUCCUGGAUGGGUACAUUAAGUGGACUGCCGCUGCUAAAGCGGAGGAAGGAACGGGCAACGGUAGGUCUGUAUGCCCCGAAUGAGCUGGGCUACACGCGGGCUACAAUGGCCAAGACAAUGGGUUCCAACCUCGAAAGAGGACGGUAAUCUCCGAAACUUGGUCGUAGUUCGGAUUGUGGGCUGAAACUCGCCCACAUGAAGCUGGAUUCGGUA